rnacentral:rRNA from 1 species
GACGAACGCUGGCGGCGUGCUUAACACAUGCAAGUCGAACGGAAAGGCCCUGCUUUUGUGGGGUGCUCGAGUGGCGAACGGGUGAGUAACACGUGAGUAACCUGCCCUUGACUUUGGGAUAACUUCAGGAAACUGGGGCUAAUACCGGAUAGGAGCUCCUGCUGCAUGGUGGUGGUUGGAAAGUUUCGGCGGUUGUGGAUGGACUCGCGGGUUAUCAGCUUGUUGGUGGGGUAGUUGCUUACCAAGCCUUUGACGGGUAGCCUGCCUGGGAGGGUGACCGGCCACAUUGGGACUGAGAUACGGCCCAGACUCCUACGGGAGGCAGCAGUGGGGAAUAUUGCACAAUGGGCGGGAGCCAGAUGCAGCAACGCCGCGUUCGGGAUGACGGCCUUCGGGGUGUAAACCGCUUUCGCCUGUGACGAAGCGUGAGUGACGGUAAUGAGUAAAGAAGCACCGGCUAACUACGUG